AGAGUUUGAUCAUGGCUCAGGACAAACGCUGGCGGCGUGCCUAACACAUGCAAGUCGAACGGAACUUCUUUAAAAAGAUUUCUUCGGAAUGAUUUUGAUUAAGUUUAGUGGCGGACGGGUGAGUAACGCGUGAGUAACCUGCCUCUGAGAGGGGAAUAACAUUCUGAAAAGAAUGCUAAUACCGCAUAAUAUAUAUUUAUCGCAUGGUAGAUAUAUCAAAGAUUUAUCGCUUAGAGAUGGACUCGCGUCCG
rnacentral:rRNA from 1 species